CCCCACCAUACUACCCUGAAAACACUCAAUCUCAUGUGAUUUUGGAAACCAAACAGGGGACAGAUCUGGUUAGUACUUGGAUAGGAGACCACUGGAUAAUAUUGGGGA
rnacentral:rRNA from 1 species